GGAUGUGAGGGUGAUCUGGCUGGGGUAUCUGUCACCCCAUUGAUCAUCAGGGUUGAUUCAACUGCUGUGGCUGGCUCAGCACAUGACCCCUUCCCCCCUCAACGCUCCAUGUGCGUCCCUCCAGAAGCCGCACACUUGGUCGAAGAGGACAACCAACUCCGACAGAGGAGGACCGUUCCCCGGUCAAGGGUAAAGGAGUAGCUGUGCUUCCCUACUAGGACCUCCAAACAAGCAGUCAGAGGUUUUAACCCUUUAUGCUUCCCUGGCCAAUUUGGAAGUGUCUGUUUCACCAAAAAUUGAUGCUCAGUCAAUAUUU
rnacentral:snRNA from 1 species